rnacentral:rRNA from 1 species
AGUGAACGCUGGCGGUAGGCCUAACACAUGCAAGUCGAACGGCAGCACAGUAAGAGCUUGCUCUUACGGGUGGCGAGUGGCGGACGGGUGGGGAAUACAUCGGAAUCUACUUUUUCGUGGGGGAUAACGUAGGGAAACUUACGCUAAUACCGCAUACGACCUACGGGUGAAAGCAGGGGAUCUUCGGACCUUGCGCGAUUGAAUGAGCCGAUGUCGGAUUAGCUAGUUGGCGGGGUAAAGGCCCACCAAGGCGACGAUCCGUAGCUGGUCUGAGAGGAUGAUCAGCCACACUGGAACUGAGGCACGGUCCAGACUCCUACGGGAGGCAGCAGUGGGGAAUAUUGGACAAUGGGCGCAAGCCUGAUCCAGCCAUACCGCGUGGGUGAAGAAGGCCUUCGGGUUGUAAAGCCCUUUUGUUGGGAAAGAAAAGCAGCAGGUUAAUACCCCGCUGUUCUGUCGGUACCCAAAGAAUAAGCACCGGCUAACUUCGUG